rnacentral:lncRNA from 1 species
CCUCACUCACACAUGGAAUAUGACUCAAUUCAGUUAGGGUCAUCAGAUACUCUGCUCUAAGUAUUUGAACCAUUCAGGAACACAAAAUUCAAGGCCUUAUUGAGUCAACUAAAGAGCCUAAGUCACACUAAAGCUGUCUUUAUUCAAGGUACCAUAGAGUUAAGGGUCCCUAUUUCCAUUUUUGUCUCUAGCCCAAGACUUCCUAAACUAAAAAGAAAAAAAACCAACUACACCCAGUUUAAAUGGAAAACCUUGGAAAAGAACCGUG